rnacentral:rRNA from 1 species
UACGUAGGGCGCAAGCGUUGUCCGGAAUUAUUGGGCGUAAAGAGCUCGUAGGCGGCUUGUCGCGUCUGCCGUGAAAGUCCGGGGCUCAACUCCGGAUCUGCGGUGGGUACGGGCAGACUAGAGUGAUGUAGGGGAGACUGGAAUUCCUGGUGUAGCGGUGAAAUGCGCAGAUAUCAGGAGGAACACCGGUGGCGAAGGCGGGUCUCUGGGCCGAUACUGACGCUGAGGAGCGAAAGCGUGGGGAGCGAACAGG